rnacentral:misc_RNA from 1 species
CACCGCGGUAAUUCCAGCUCCAAUAGCGUAUAUUAGUGUUGUUGCGGUUAAAAAGCUCGUAGUUGAAUUUCGGGAUUGGGAUAUAUCGGUCGUGCCUUUAGGGGCAUGAAUCGGUGUGUGGCCAAUUCUCACCUUCUGGUGAAUUGGGAUGCUCUCGGGUGUUUCAAUGAACUAGGACUUUUACUUUGAAAAAAUUAGAGUGUUUAAAGCGGGCAUUUUUGCUUGAAUACGUUAGCAUGGAAUAAUAAAAUAGGACGAUGGUUCUAUUUUGUUGGUUUUAGGACCACGUAAUGAUUAAUAGGGAUAGUUGGGGGCAUUAGUAUUCAAUUGUCAGAGGUGAAAUUCUUGGAUUUAUUGAGGACUAACUACUGCGAAAGCAUUUGCCAAGGAUGUUUUCAUUAAUCAAGAACGAAAGUUAGGGGAUCAAAGACGAUUUAUGUACGUCGUAGUCUUAACCAUAAACUAUGCCGACUAGGAAUCAGACAAAGUUAAUUUUUUAACGACUUGUUUGGUACCUUACG